GACGAACGCUGGCGGCGUGCCUAAUACAUGCAAGUUGAGCGAUGAAGAUUGGUGCUUGCACCAAUUUGAAGAGCAGCGAACGGGUGAGUAACGCGUGGGGAAUCUGCCUUUGAGCGGGGGACAACAUUUGGAAACGAAUGCUAAUACCGCAUAAUAACUUUAAACAUAAGUUUUAAGUUUGAAAGAUGCAAUUGCAUCACUCAAAGAUGAUCCCGCGUUGUAUUAGCUAGUUGGUGAGGUAAAGGCUCACCAAGGCGAUGAUACAUAGCCGACCUGAGAGGGUGAUCGGCCACAUUGGGACUGAGACACGGCCCAAACUCCUACGGGAGGCAGCAGUAGGGAAUCUUCGGCAAUGGACGAAAGUCUGACCGAGCAACGCCGCGUGAGUGAAGAAGGGUUUCGGAUCGUAAAACUCGGUUGGUAGAGAAGAACGUUGGUGAGAGUGGAAAGCUCAUCAAGUGACGGUAACUACCCAGAAAGGGACGGCUAACUACGUG
rnacentral:rRNA from 1 species